GACGAACCGUGCGAACGUUGUUCGGAAUCACUGGGCUUAAAGCGCGUGUAGGCGGGCCGGCACGUCGGCCGCUGAAAGCCCCCGGCUCAACCGGGGAAGCGGCGCCGAUACGACCGGCCUGGAGGGGGGUAGGGGGAGCCGGAAUUCCCGGUGUAGGAGGUGAAAUUCGUAGAUAUCGGGAGGAACACCAGUGGCGAAGGCGGCUUUCUGGACAUUUACUGGACGCUGA
rnacentral:rRNA from 1 species